UACGUAGGGGGCGAGCGUUGUUCGGAAUCACUGGGCGUAAAGCGCGUGUAGGCGGCCCUUUAAGUCCGAUGUGAAAGCCCGGGGCUCACCCCCGGAAGUGCAUUGGAUACUGAAGGGCUGGAGUACCGGAGAGGAGGGUGGAAUUCCUGGUGUAGCGGUGAAAUGCGUAGAUAUCAGGAGGAACACCUGUGGCGAAGGCGGCCCUCUGGACGGAUACUGACGCUGAGGUGCGAAAGCGUGGGGAGCAAACAGG
rnacentral:rRNA from 1 species